UCCGUAGGUGAACCUGCGGAGGGAUCAUUACAGAGUUGCAAAACUCCCACAAACCAUCGCGAAUCUUACCCGUACGGUUGCCUCGGCGCUGGCGGUCCGGAAAGGCCCUCGGGUCCUCCCGGAUCCUCGGGUCUCCCGCUCGCGGGAGGCUGCCCGCCGGAGUGCCGAAACUAAACUCUUGAUAUUUUAUGUCUCUCUGAGUAAACUUUUAAAUAAGUCAAAACUUUCAACAACGGAUCUCUUGGUUCUGGCAUCGAUGAAGAACGCAGCGAAAUGCGAUAAGUAAUGUGAAUUGCAGAAUUCAGUGAAUCAUCGAAUCUUUGAACGCACAUUGCGCUCGCCAGUAUUCUGGCGAGCAUGCCUGUUCGAGCGUCAUUUCAACCAUCAAGCUCUGCUUGCGUUGGGGAUCCGCGGCUGCCCGCGGUCCCUCAAAAUCAGUGGCGGGCUCGCUAGUCACACCGAGCGUAGUAACUCUACAUCGCUAUGGUCGUGCGGCGGGUUCUUGCCGUAAAACCCCCCAUUUCUAAGGUUGACCUCGGAUCAGGUAGUAAUACCCGCUGAACUUAAGCAUAUCAAUAAGCGGAGGAA
rnacentral:rRNA from 1 species